rnacentral:lncRNA from 1 species
GAAUCCUUUCCAAGCACUGCAGUGCAAAUAACUAAUAAUAACAGAGCUGUUGCUGGGGGAGAGAAUCAUCCUUGUAAGUAAGUUCACAUCAGAUGGAGUGCAAGCUUGAACGUUAGACGGGGCGGAACAAAGCAGGAACCGUAAGCUUCUUAGAUUUGCAGAGGCAGUUUUGUAUGACUUUUCUCAGCUUCCUGUGAGGAGAAAUAUUUUCAAAAUGGGUCUGAUUGCUAAUCUGAUUAUGCCAGCUCAGAAGUUAAAUUGAAACAUGAAAUAAAUGAAGGCUUUUGGAGUUAUGAAUUAAUUAAAAAACUAAUUAGGACAGAUAAAAGAAAUGCAAGUCAGGGGAUUGUUUUUCUUAUCUUGGAAUAAGAGCAUUUAAAUUGAAAAGAUGACAUUAAACAAAGCCUACAAACAACUGGAAACUGUGUUAGGAGAAAGAUAAGUCCUAAAAGGGGAUUUUUUUGUUUUACAUCAUGAUACAGCUUUCCAAAACGUAUUUCUGGAGAGGGAACAGCAGCUCAGAGGAGAGGAUGCCUGUAGACUCAGGGACAGCUGGAAGAGAAAUGCUGAAUGGAGACUGAGUAGAUGGGAGAUAUACAGAGCUGGAAAGAAACCUUCACCAAUAUGAAGCCUCUUGAACCGCAGUGAGAUUUAAGCCAUUCGUGGAGCUGACUGCCCCAUCUGCAAACAAAUGGCAUGGAAAAAUUUAACUUUCCAGUCACUGAAAGCUCAUCUCUGGAUGUAAUCACAGUGUUGUGCAUCUCACUGCCCAAACCCGGGGCAGUUUCUGGUGAGCUGCUGUUCACAUCCUGGGUACCAAACUGAAGGUGCUGUACUUGGGGCAAAGGGAAACUUACUUCACCCUCUAGAGUCUGGAGAAGUUUUAAAGUCCACUUUCACUGUGCAUGAAGCAGCAUAGGGUGGACCAAGUUCUUCUGUCAGAAAUCUUUUACUGGCAAAUACUAAUUAAAUAAAGUGUGUGCGUGAAAGAAAGAAAUUUCUG